rnacentral:snRNA from 1 species
AUCGCUUCUCGGCCAUUUGGCUAAGAUCAAGUAUAGUAUCUCUUCUUAUCAGUUUAAAAAUACUAACCUCAUAUAUAUGCUAAGUAAGUACAAUGCCCAGCAUGCAGUACUGCUC